CGACUGCUAAGACUGGAUAGGAGAUAAGAAGGCAUCUUUUUAUUUUUAAAAGACCUAGCAAUAGGUAUGCUUAGGGAAGAGCUUGCGUCACAUUAGUUAGUUGGUGGGGUAAUGGCCUACCAAGACGAUGAUGUGUAGCCGGGCUGAGAGGUCGAACGGCCACAUUGGGACUGAGACACGGCCCAAACUCCUACGGGAGGCAGCAGUAAGGAAUUUUCGGCAAUGGAGGAAACUCUGACCGAGCAAUGCCGCGUGAACGAUGAAGUAUUUCGGUACGUAAAGUUCUUUUAUUAGGGAAGAAAAGAUGGUGGAAAAACCAUUAUGACGGUACCUAAUGAAUAAGCCCCGGCUAACUAUGUGCCAGCAGCCGCGGUAAUACAUAGGGGGCAAGCGUUAUCCGGAAUUAUUGGGCGUAAAGGGUGCGUAGGCGGUUAAAUAAGUUUAUGGUCUAAGUGCAACGCUCAACGUUGUGAUGCUAUAAAAACUGUUUAGCUAGAGUUGGAUAGAGGCAAGUGGAAUUCCGUGUGUAGUGGUAAAAUGCGUAAAUAUACGGAGGAACACCAGAAGCGAAGGCGGCUUGCUGGGUCUUAACUGACGCUGAGGCACGAAAGCGUGGGGAGCAAACAGGAUUAGAUACCCUGGUAGUCCACGCCCUAAACGAUGAGUACUAAACGUUGGAUAAAACCAGUGUUGAAGUUAACACAUUAAGUACUCCGCCUGAGUAGUACGUACGCAUGUAUGAAACUUAAAGGAAUUGACGGGACUCCGCACAAGCGGUGGAUCAUGUUGUUUAAUUCGAAGGUACCCGAAAAACCUCACCAGGUCUUGACAUGCUUUUGCAAAGCUGUAGAAAUACAGUGGAGGUUAUCAGAAGCACAGGUGGUGCAUGGUUGUCGUCAGCUCGUGUCGUGAGAUGUUGGGUUAAGUCCCGCAACGAGCGCAACCCUUGUUGUUAAUUGCCAUCAUUAAGUUGGGGACUUUAGCAAGACUGCCAAUGAUAAAUUGGAGGAAGGUGGGGACGACGUCAAAUCAUCAUGCCCCUUAUGACCUGGGCUACAAACGUGAUACAAUGGCUGUUACAAAGGGUAGCUAAAGCGUAAGCUUCUGGCGAAUCUCAAAAAAGCAGUCUCAGUUCGGAUUGAAGUCUGCAACUCGACUUCAUGAAGUUGGAAUCGCUAGUAAUCGCGAAUCAGCAUGUCGCGGUGAAUACGUUCUCGGGG
rnacentral:rRNA from 1 species